rnacentral:rRNA from 1 species
CGGCAUUACCGGCGUGAGUGAUAGAAGGCGCAUCGGGGCUUGAAACUCUUUUUCCUCGAGUGUGCAAUUGUGACUUCACUCGAAUAAGACGCCCCCGCUAACUCCGUGCCCGCCCCCCCCGUAACACGGGGGGGGCUAGUGUUAUUCGGAAUGACCGUGCGUAAAGGGCACGUGGGCUGUGAAUUCCGUUGAAAGUGAAGGUCGCCAGCUCAACUGGCUGAAUGCUUUCAAAACCAAUUCACUUGAAUAAUAUAGANGAUAGUGGAAUUUCGUGUGUAGAGAAAAAAUUCACAUAUAUACGAAAGACCACCAAAAGCGAAGGCACCUUUCUGGGUCUCUACUGACGCUGAGGUGCGAAAGCCUAGGGAGCAAACAGGAUUAGAUACCCUGGUAGUCUAUGCCCUAAACUAUGACUGUUCCUCCUUGGUCUGCACUGUAUGCAAAACAGCUGAUCAGGGGCCCAGAUAACACGUUAAACACUCCGCCUGGGGAAUACAGCCGCAAGGCUGAAACUCGAAGGAAUUGACGGGA